rnacentral:rRNA from 1 species
UCAGAUUGAACGCUGGCGGCAGGCCUAACACAUGCAAGUCGAGCGGUAGAGAGAAGCUUGCUUCUCUUGAGAGCGGCGGACGGGUGAGUAAUGCCUAGGAAUCUGCCUAGUGGUGGGGGAUAACGUUCGGAAACGGACGCUAAUACCGCAUACGUCCUACGGGAGAAAGCGGGGGACCUUCGGGCCUCGCGCCAUUAGAUGAGCCUAGGUCGGAUUAGCUAGUUGGUGAGGUAAUGGCUCACCAAGGCGACGAUCCGUAACUGGUCUGAGAGGAUGAUCAGUCACACUGGAACUGAGACACGGUCCAGACUCCUACGGGAGGCAGCAGUGGGGAAUAUUGGACAAUGGGCGAAAGCCUGAUCCAGCCAUGCCGCGUGUGUGAAGAAGGUCUUCGGAUUGUAAAGCACUUUAAGUUGGGAGGAAGGGUAGUAACUUAAUACGUUGCUACUUUGACGUUACCGACAGAAUAAGCACCGGCUAACUUCGUGCCAGCAGCCGCGGUAAUACGAAGGGUGCAAGCGUUAAUCGGAAUUACUGGGCGUAAAGCGCGCGUAGGUGGUUCAGUAAGUUGGAAGUGAAAUCCCCGGGCUCAACCUGGGAACUGCUUUCAAAACUGCUGAGCUAGAGUACGGUAGAGGGUGGUGGAAUUUCCUGUGUAGCGGUGAAAUGCGUAGAUAUAGGAAGGAACACCAGUGGCGAAGGCGACCACCUGGACUGAUACUGACACUGAGGUGCGAAAGCGUGGGGAGCAAACAGGAUUAGAUACCCUGGUAGUCCACGCCGUAAACGAUGUCAACUAGCCGUUGGGAGUCUUGAACUCUUAGUGGCGCAGCUAACGCAUUAAGUUGAC